AUUGAUUGCUGUACAAAUUCAAGGGCUGUUUCCUGUCCUGUGACCCGUCAGGUUAUCAAUUUUGCAGUUGUGCCUCCACCACAGGGGCUUUUGAUUCUCAUGGCACUAGUGAAGCUCAGUCUAGUAUCAUUACUGUCUUGUACAUCAAAUGAUGCCCAUUUGUCGGUUUAUUGUUGUAUCAGUAGAAUGUUUGAACUGUUGUAUCAGUUUAUUCUUUUUUGCGAGGGAUUGGAUAGUCAUGUGACGUCUGGACUUGUUGGAUCAAGAAAGAUAAUAAGAUGCAAAGGGUUCAACCUGUGCCUUAUCACUUGCAGACCUGGAUUUAUUUUGCAGUGAGUGCAAAUAAUGUGUUUGAUUACCUCGUCCUUUGUAAGCUCAAGAGUAAUCCAAGCUAAACAUUCCCACCUAUAUUUGCACUGAGUACGAAUAGAUAUAUUAAACUAAAGCCUGUGGACUGUAGCUCUAAGAUCAUCAGUUCUGACAAAUUAUCAUUGAUGUGAUCUCCUAUUUGUAAUUUCUCGCUGGUGUUGCUAUGCUAGUUGGAUGGUUACCGAAGGUGUUGAGGUUUGGAAUCUCUGGAUGAUUAUUAAAGGUGUUAGCUCCAGGCUCAAUCAACAAAUGUUGUCAAUUUAACAGUUCUAUUGUACCUCCUGGUGAAUAGAGAAUCACCACAAGCCUCAUAGUUUUGGCAGCCUAAUUCAUGCUGCAAAAGGAGAUGGGCAUGAAGUGAGUAAGGAACAUUUAUAAGCUUAAAGUAGAUGAGAAGGAGGUUAGCUACCAAGCGCACAAUGCUUAAAAA